rnacentral:rRNA from 1 species
UGGGGAAUUUUGCACAAUGGGGGAAACCCUGAUGCAGCGACGCCGCGUGAUUUAGAAGGCCUUCGGGUUGUAAAAAUCUUUUCUAUGGGAAGAAAAUGACAGUACCAUAGGAAUAAGGACCGGCUAAUUACGUGCCAGCAGCCGCGGUAAUACGUAAGGUCCGAGCGUUGUCCGGAAUCAUUGGGCGUAAAGGGUACGUAGGCGGGUAAGCAAGUUAGAAGUGAAAUCCUAUAGCUCAACUAUAGUAAGCUUUUAAAACUGCUCAUCUUGAGGUAUGGAAGGGAAAGUGGAAUUCCUAGUGUAGCGGUGAAAUGCGCAGAUAUUAGGAGGAAUACAGGUGGCGAAGGCGACUUUCUGGCUAUAACCUGACGCUGAGGUACGAAAGCGUGGGUAGCAAACAGG